GUUAGGAAUAUUGGACAAUGGGCGCAAGCCUGAUCCAGCCAUGCCGCGUGAGUGAUGAAGGCCUUCGGGUUGUAAAGCUCUUUAGUCCACGAAUAUAAUGACUGUAGUGGAAGAAUAAGCCCCGGCUAACUUCGUGCCAGCAGCCGUGGUAAUACGAAGGGGGCGAGCGGGAUUCGGAAUCACUGGGCGUAAAGCGUGCGUAGGCUGUUUUGUAAGUCAGAAGUGAAAGCCCAGGGCUUAACCCUGGAAUUGCUUUUGAAACUACAAGACUCGAAUUCGGGAGAGGAUAGCGGAAUUGUCAGUGUAGCAGUGAAAUGCGUAGAUAUUGACAGGAACACCAGUGGCGCAAGCGGCUAUCUGGACCGAUAUUGACGCUGAGGCACGAAAGCGUGGGGAGCAAACAGGAUUAGAUACCCUGGUAGUCC
rnacentral:rRNA from 1 species